AGUAAUUUCCAAGUCCAUGGUUCUCAUCUUAUGGAUAAGGAAAUUGUCCCAAAGAAGCUCAGUGACUCUCUCGGGUUACAUAGCAAGGCUUACAGAGCGCUUUCUAGAUUCUAGACCAGUAACUUGACAAUAAUUAGUAAUAAGUUGUUUUACUCGCAAGACAAGAUUUGAGUCUGUACGUAUAAAUGAUCAGCAUAUAUCCAUAAAUAUGUCAUUGUCUGCCUUUGUAUGUAGACUUUUUUAAAAAUCAGAAGGAACAGAUAUCCAAGAGUACUCAAAGGCAGUCUGACAUUUUUGAGAUAUCAAUACCACUGGGAAGGCUAGGAAAAACAAAUAGGAUGUUGUGUUAGGCAGAAAAAAACCCCACUCUACCCCAAAGAUGUCCACCUCCUAAUUUCUGGAACAUGUGAUAAUGUUACCUUGUAUGACAAAAGAGUCUUUUCAGAUGUGAGUAAGGUUAAGGACCUUGAGAUGAGGAGAAUAUCCUGGAUUAUCCAGGUGGGCCCACUCUAAUCACUUGAGUCCUUAAAAGUGGAAGAUGGAGGGAAGGGAGUGGAUCUGAGAGAUGUAUGCAAGGACUGGUUCCACUGCUCAUGGUUUUGAAGUUGGAGAAAGGGGGCCAUGAACCACGGAAUAUGGUCAUCUUUAGCUGGGCACAGCCCUUAGUUUACAACCAACAGGAAAAUAGGGACCUUGGUCCCACAAAGGCAAGAAACUGAAAUCUGCCAGCAGGCCUAGUGGGAAGGAAAUGGAUUCUCCCUCAGAGCCUCCAGCAGGGAACACAUUCUGCCAACACCUUGAUUCAGUCCAGUCAGACAUCUCCAUACCAGACUUCUGACCUAUAGGUCUGUGAGAUGAUAGUUCUGUUGUUUAAGUCACUAAGUUUGUGAUAAUUGUUAUAUCAGCAAUAGAAACUAAGGGAGAUAUGCAGUGUCUUAGUUUAUUAUCUUCCUGGAUUUUGACUAAACAAAGUUAUUAGGAAAAAUCAGCUGUACUACACCUUAGAGAUUUAGAGCAUAUUUGAUUUUGGAGCACUUAUAAACAACUUAGGUACUGUUGUUCAUGGCCAUCUUUCUCUGUCGUACGAAGUCCUUUUAAAUUCUAAACUUCUCCCCAGAAUUUCCUCCAUAGUGGAAUUAAGUAAAACAUGGGUUUCUUCAACCCAAAUUACUAUUUACUCAUGUGCGUAUUUCUGAUUCAUCAUACUGUCAUUAUCAUAAGGUGGAGGGCGAGGAGUGGUACAUACUCAACCUUUACUUCUCGAUCAGGCAGUCACAGUCUUCUCAGCUUUCCAUCUCUCCUGUGAACAUGUUCCAUGGUUUUAGUUUCUUUGGGUUUUGUCUUGCCCAAAGUCAUUUUGUUAGUAAAUCACAGAGCCAGUUUUGGAACCUAGGCAGUCAAGCUCCACUGUACUACACUGCAGUUUUAAUGUUGUCUAAAGGAAAUGCCCAAUAGAAUGAAGAAAUAGGAUAUAAACAAAAGGUCAUUUAAGGUUAAUGGCCCAGAUGUGGGCACUUGUGACUCUUCCUUCAAAUUUCUGGUUAGGACACUUAAAAAAAAUUAUUCAACAGUAAGUUCCUCUGCUGCAUUAAUUAUAUAUAUUUUUCUAUAUUCAUCUGUUUCUAUUCAAUUCAUCUGUGUUAUUACUAUUAAACUUUUCUAACAGUGGCUGGCAAACUAUAGCUCUCAGACCAAAUAUUUUUGUUAAUGAAGUUUUAUGGAACAGCCACACCUACUGAUUUAUAUGUCUGUGGCUGUUCUUCAGGGACAAUGGCAAAGUUGAGUGGUUGUGAAAGAGACCAUAUAGCCCACAGAGCCCUAAAAUAUUUGCUGUCUGUCUCUUUUGCAGAAAGUUUGCAGAUCUCUGUUCUCUAAUGUCAACAAAUGAGAUUUUUAAAGUUUUUAUGUCAAUAUUACCAAAUUGUCCUUUUACAAAAUUCGCACACUUCCCAGCAGGAAUAUGAGAUGAUUCAUCAUCCUACCCAGUCUUAGGUAUCACCAUGAUGCCCAUUUUGACCAACUUUAAGAUAUGGUUCCUCCAUUUUUUCUGAAUUUAAUAAUUUGUACCAUGAAUAACAAGAAACAAACAAAACUCAGGUUAGACUUCAGAGGUAUGUGUGCAUUUUUUCUUCCAUUUCUCCCUUCCUUCCUAUUGUUAGAGUUUCAGGCCAGAAUUGUAAAACAUUUUCCAAGUCAUUACCCCGUGUGAUGACAAAGCAUGUAAUGGGAUUUUUCAUGCAUAAGAAAUAGAAAAUAAUAGAAAAUAAAGAAUGACCUUUAUUUUUAUUUUAACAUAUGUAUUAGAAACUGAAUUAAAAACCACACACACAUCAUAAUACAGUGGAUUAAAGGAAAUUAUCAGCAGAGAGUUUUUUUUUUUUUUUUUUUGGAAACAAAAAGUGGUAAUUCAAAUUAAACACAACUCUGCAUUAGGGAUAUUAAUCUUUGUGAUUUUGUUUUGUUUUGUUUUGUUUUUUCGCUAUUCAACAUCAGAAGGUGUUAGAUAGAGCUCAGUAUAUCAGGUACUUUUUUUUUUUCCUGGUCUUUGAUUCAACAAGAGAGCCUGAGUCUCUGCUUAUAACCACCUCACACUUUGAAUUGGGACCUACAGAGAAUGCACUCUUGAGAUCACAUCAGUUGCAGCAGGAGCAAGUUCAUAAAGGAGCUAUACCAUUGAUGCUACUGGUAGCAUCAGCUUCCGUCUGUAAUGUUUGGCAGUGGUGUCAGGAUUCUAACUGACCCAGCUUUGCUGUGUCCUUAGGACAUGCUGCAAGGCUAUGGAAUUUCCGACUCUUUCUCCAGCCUGUCUCACAAUUAUGUUGCUACUGAAUAUCCUUUAAUAACCCUUUGCUGCUUAAACCAGCUUAUGUUCAUUUCUGGUUUCAAGCUGACAAGAAUUCUGACUGUUGAAAUGUUCUGGAAGUGUAGUGUUAGCAGUGAGCUACCGAGACCUUCAAACAUUCUUUUGCUUAUUUCUACCUUUCUUUUAAGGUUAUUUACUUAUUUAUUUAUUUUACUAAUCUUUACACCCAACAUGGGGCUCGAACCCAUGACCCCAAGAUUAAGAGUCACAUACUCCACCAACUGAGCCAGCCAGGUGCCCCUUUUCUACAUUUUUUUAAACUAAAAAAAUUUAAAACCUGUUUAUAGGAGCUUACUUUAAAACUCUAAAUUUUUGUAUCAUAAGUUUAUUAAUUACAAACAAUGUUAUUUCUGCCACAUGGUAUUUUGUGUUUAUGCUUUAAAUAUAUUUUCUUAUAAACUUUUUAAGUUUAUUUUGAGAGAGACAGAGAGGGUGGGGGAGGGGCAGAGAGAGAAUCCUAAGCAGGCUCCAUACUGUCAGCACAGAGCCUGAUGUGGGGCUUGAACCCACAAAACGUGAGAUCAUGACCUGAGCCAAAACCAAGAAUCGGUCGCUCAACCAACUGAGCCACCCAGUGCCCCUAAAUAUAUUUUCAUUAAAACCUUGGUGCUGCAGGUUUGACUUGUAAGUUUACAGCAAAGCCCAUUACCAGACCCAUCAGCUGACUUUCUUUUCAAUUUAAAUAAAUAUGUUACCAUGAAUUCUGUGAGAACUGAACAUCCCUGCAGUAUGGAUAUGUUGUGGAUCUAAAGUCCUGGUCACUCCACCUGGGCCAAUUUUAUGUCCUUCUAGCUCAAUUUCUGGAUACAUAGGUAUAUAAUAAUCAUUUUCCAGUUCUCUCAAAACUAUUUCAGUGUGCUCCAGUCACUUUCAGUUGUUGAUAUGUGCAUUUCUGUGUUUGAGGGCUUUUUCUGGAACCCUGUCUGUAUGGUGGUAGGUUGGAAAUGCUAAGAACUUAGCAACCCCAGGAACCAGUCUUCAGUCCAUGACUGACAAAGUGGGUUUCUAAUACCUCAGCCCCUUCACCAAGUUGGGAUAAUUCAGUUGGUAUAUCUCCUGUCAUUCAAUACAGUAGCCGGAUUAACAGCGCACCUUUCAUUGGCUGCCUUCCUUUCCUUGUAAUGCUUUUCUAUCCCCUUAUUGGGGAUAGAAGUAGUUUAUUCCCUAAAUAAACUACUUGCACUUGAAUUCAUGCCUCAGGGUCUGCAUUUGGGAGAACCCAAACUGAAAUCAUGAAUACUUCUUCCUUUCAAAGGGGUCUAUAUCUUCCUUGAGCUUGAGAAUAGCUGUAGCCUAACCAUAGUGCUUGUCAUCAUCUGAUUCCACCUGAUCGUCUUUUAGAUGAUGCAAAGGACAGGAUGGUCUUCUAUGCAGGCAUCUUUAAAUAUCCCUAGGUAAACAAUCACUACUGUCGUCAAAGUUGGUCUGAAGUGGGAAGUUUACUCAAAAAUGAAAUAUCUGUGUAUGGUACCUUAACUCGGUAGCUGCAUUGAAACCUCAGGCUCAGUGCUGUAUUAAGAAAUGAGUGCAGAUGGGGUGCCUGGGUGGCUCAUUCGGUUAAGCGUCCAACUUAAGUUCAGGUCAUGCUCUUGUGGUUCACAAGUUCAAGUCCCAUGUUGGGCUCUGUGCUGACAGCUUGGAGCCUGGAGCCUGCUUCAUAUUCUGUGUCUCCCUCUCUCUCUGCCCCUCCCCCACUCGUGGUAUGUGUGUCUCUGUCUCUCUCAAAACGUUAAAAACAUUAAAAAACAUAAAAACAUUAAAAAUUAAAAAAGAAAUAAGUGCAGUAAUUACUCAAUUAUCUGACAAUGGCUUAGGAAAAAUUUAUGGUAUUAGACUCUUGACUCUUGAUGAAGGGAUAUCCUUCAUCAAGCCUGAAAUGGAAAAAGAAAAAAAAAAAAAAAGAGGCAGAGAGUGAGUCCACAGUUCAGAGCUGCUCUCUCGCUCAUUCCUUCUUUGGGGAGAGUGAUAUUCCCAAAGCCUGGAUAUGCCGCCUGAUUGCCAGUGACUAGUCUCUGUCCUAAUCUCAUGUAUACCUUUUACUUCUUUUGCUUACUGGUUCAAAGGCAAACCAAAGUGAAAGUACUAUUGAAGAGAGCCCAGGUGGCCAGUCGGUUGAGCAUCCAACUCUUGAUUUUGGCUCAGGUCAUGGUCACAGGGUCAGAAGAUUGAGUCCCUUGUCAGGCUCCAUGCUGAGCAAGGAGCCUGCUUAAGAUUCUCUCUCUCUCUGCCCCUUUCUCUCUCUCUCUCUCUCUCUCUCUCAUAAAUAAAAAAAUAAAAUAAAAAUAAGAUAGUAAAAAAACAAAAACAGUGAAAGCACCAUUAAGUGAAUCCGAGUGGCCAUUCUGACCCAUCCCCAAACUCUGGCCAGCGUGCAGUCUGGCCAUAGGUAGAGUGCUACCAGUAAGCCUGGGUAUCUCCCAAACAUUGGGCUCUUCAGGUAAACAUUUGACAAAUCUAAGCUCACCUUCCUCUUCAACACCACAGUGAACAGUUAUGACAUUGAGAAGCCUGAGCCAAACUUGCAGUUUGGUGAUUUAGGUGGUAGAGAUGAAGGUUUGAGCCACCUGUGCCUCUUUCCUGAAAUAACUGGGUGUGAGAUGUUGAGUUUGCAAAAGGCUUCUCAGGUUUUUGUUGGGAUGGUGACAGUGAUGAGACUGGCCUUGUUAUAUUCCCCCUCUGAGUCCUGGGAUCUCUUUACAGACCUUUCCGUUUAGAAGAAUGUCUUAGGAUAGAGUCUCCACAAGCACAACUUGAAGGAAGGAUUUAUUUAUAUGUCAAUGGUUUACUAAGGAAGUGUUCCUAAGAGGAAUCCGUAAGGAAGCGAGGAAAGCAGGAGAAGAAGCAGACCCAAGCACAGGAUAUGAUGGCUUCAGUAUUUCUGAAGACACAGAAUUUCCACUAAUCAUUCAGCAGAGAGGACCUAUUAUGAAAUUCCAAGAACAAGGACAGAAUAUCAGGGCAGCUCACAUCCCAGCAAUCCACCAGUCUUGGAGAGACUGAAUGAGGAGGCAUCCAGAUGUGUCCUGGGUGCAGACCUAAGAUGACCUGCCUAAAGCUAUAGCUAAUAAGAAGUAGUUGCUUGAAAGCUGGUGGGAAGUUUCAUUGUUUGCUCUCCUCUCUAGGAGACCAAAGAGAGGUGAAGUCUUUCCUGAGCACAGAUGAUCGAAGCUGGGUGAAACACUCAGUCAAAUUAGAGUUUCAGUUUCAAGAAUGGAUUUCUCCAUGUCUCAGGGAUUUUAAAUCUUGAAGAGAUGAUCUUACCUCAUGACAGCCAGUCCAGUGUUUUUGCCACCUGACCAAACCACUUCCAGAAGGACCUUGAUAACCAGCUUGGUGGUCAGAUUGUCCAUUUCAAUGACUUUGUCGGUAUAGAGUUUCUCCAGAAGUUCACACAAUGACUUGGCACCCUGGCCUGUGACAUCAUUGGCCUUCCAGAUACAGAGACCUUCCGUGAGUCUGACAACCUGCUUUCACUUCAGGGCAAGCGAGCUGAAAACACCUGCAAAGGGCACAGGAGGAAAGCAAAAAGGCCUCUGAGUAACCAGCCUGAAUUCUACACUGCAGCAAAGCUUGUGUAUUUUUUUUUAAAAAAUCAGUUUUUCCAGCUGUUGAAUGACUUCAGGAAGCGUUCCCAAGGCCCCAUCUGAUGCAAAGUCCUCCCCUGUGCUUCACCACUGCUUGUCUUUACCCUGAUCCCAGCACAAUGGCUCUGCUUGUUGUCUGGUUUGCCACGUCUGUUGUUAAUUUAAACCACCAGGAGGUCAGGGACGGCUCUAUUUUGUUUGAAUGGCAUGCGUUCACCGGAAAAUAAUCUUCUCUCCAAUGUAGAAUCCUGAGCAUGAGAAUUCUCAAGACACACUAGGUCAAGAGUGAGAGGAAAGUACAAAAUAUAUGUUCACUGUCUUAUAUGGCGUUUCUUCUUGUGAACAUAUGGGUAUAAUCGUGGCUCAAUAAAAGAUGUGCUCCAAUUA